rnacentral:rRNA from 1 species
AACGAACGCUGGCGGCAUGCCUAACACAUGCAAGUCGAGCGAGACCUUCGGGUCUAGUGGCGCACGGGUGCGUAACGCGUGGGAACCUGCCCUUAGGUUCGGAAUAACUCCCUGAAAGGGGUGCUAAUACCGGAUAAUGUCUUCGGACCAAAGAUUUAUCGCCUUUGGAUGGGCCCGCGUUGGAUUAGCUAGUUGGUAGGGUAAAAGCCUACCAAGGCGACGAUCCAUAGCUGGUCUGAGAGGAUGAUCAGCCACACUGGGACUGAGACACGGCCCAGACUCCUACGGGAGGCAGCAGUGGGGAAUAUUGGACAAUGGGCGAAAGCCUGAUCCAGCAAUGCCGCGUGAGUGAUGAAGGCCUUAGGGUUGUAAAGCUCUUUUACCCGGGAUGAUAAUGACAGUACCGGGAGAAUAAGCUCCGGCUAACUCCGUG